AGCCCUGGAAUAGAAGUUGGACAGUUUUUAAAGGUCCCUGCGCUCGCCAAGAGAAGGAAAUAGAUGAUGCUCAAGAGUGAAACACCGAGAGAAUCCGAUCUGGCGCCUCCUAACGCAGUUGGCAAGCAGGCGAAGGGGCUGUGUAGAUGGAAUUAACAGAGUCAGAGCAGCUUACAUAUAGCCUGAGUGUCUGGCUUUGGGCAUUUGGGGAAGACUUCUGGUGUAAAGUUCUGCAUCUUCCCGUGCUAGAACCCUAAGGAAACUUGAAAAUAACAGAUCUGGUGAGCUAGAGGACCUUGGACAAGGUGCCCAAACCGAGCCUCCCUUAUCCCAUCUAUAAAAUGGGGGCCAUGUCUACCGUCUAAGAGUUCUAUGAGGAUUCAAUGAACCACUGUUCUACAACUGGGCGGCUGACUGCAUCCCGGGUCCACGUGAUCUGCUGGGCAGAAACCGAGAGAGUCAGCUGUCAUCGCCCGCAGCUGAGGCCUGAGAACGCGCACCCUGCGUGCUCGCCGCAGGGUCUGGGAGACCGCUAUCUGCACCCUGCGCCUUGACAUCAACCUCUGCAUCCGUGUCUCCCACCGCGAAUCGUGCUUAAUGUCUGCCCUGGGCAUGGCAAGGACCCGUCAGCAUAACUUCGCAAGUCCUCACUCGCCUGGGUCAACUUAUCUGCCUGCGCGGACAGCUGGAUGCUCCUACAGGGUUGGAAAGUUGGAUGUUCCUACCAGAGUCCCGACUUCUCAGCCUGGGAGCUGUAUGCUGUGGGAUGACAAUGCCACAAAGCAGCAAUUUUAAUCUCUUUUGUCCACCUCUGUAACCCCACACAUGUCAAUUAGAGCUUGGCCCUCGAUAGUCUCAAUAAAAUAUUUGUUGAAUAAAUGAAUGGAUGAUAUAAAGUGACUGGCGCUCAGUAAGUACCCCAUCAUGGGGUAGCUAUUGCUAAUUUAUUAUUGUGAUUAAAUACUCUGUCUUGGGAAUCCAAUUUGAAAGCAGUAUACUUAGGGAGGGAGAAAUUUAGCAUCAUGUGGAAUGCUGGCAUUCUGGCUGGGAAAUCCUGUCGACUCCAUUUACUAGUUGUGUGAUCUGGAAGAAGUGACUUCACUUUUCUAAGGCUGUUUCCUCACCUGUAAAAUGGAGAUAAUCACAGUACCUCCCAGGUAGAAUGCAAAGGUAGGAUAAGACGGUAACAGUAAAGCAUUUAGUAGAGUUCCUGCCACAUAAUGAAUGCUCAAUAAACAAUGAUCAGCAUUCCUCAUUAUAGUAGUACUCCUCACACUAGAGGUGACAUCCAAGUCAAUUAAACCAUUGCUAAGCACUCACAUAUGUCUGGGUCCAGCAGUCUCAAUAAAUGUUUAUUGACCUCCCUCCGUGAGCUCCUCAAGGAAAGAGAUUGUGCUUACAUUGUCCUGAUUUUGGCCUGCAGUAGAUAGACUGAGACAUGCUCAAAAAAUCACAUUCUGGACUCAAAUAUGAGUAAAAACCUAGAACAGCUACUAGAAUCAUAAUGCCCGUGGCCUACUAGGCGCCAGGCACGGUGUUGGAUGCUGGAGAUAUGGCAACAAGCUUAAAACAAACAUGGCGGCUACUCCUUUCAGGCUGGUGAAACUUAGCAGAGUUGACUGACUUUGUGUCGAUCGUUGCACAGACAGAUGGAACAUUGCAACUGAGAAGUGUAUCACAACAGAGAGGGGCACAGGGCUCUCGGGUAUAUAAUGUGGGCCUGGAGAAGAUGGGGUUGACCUGGGCUGGGCUUGAGGAGGGAAGAGCUGAGCGCUGCGGAAAGAAGAGGUCUUAGCUAAGCUGAGGGUAGGGGAAGUGUUCUCAGCAGAAAAAAUAGCAGAUGCGAAGGUCUCGUGAUGGGGGAGCAUAUGAGCUAAAGGAACUGAAAGAAGGCCUAGUGACCCCAGUACAGUGAGCUGAGGACAGGGGCCCCGGGGAGAAAUCAACUGGGAAAGUAAGUCAGCACUUUGGAAAUUAAGUGGGCCACGUAUAUGGUAAAGCAGAAAAAGGGUGCAACCUAGGAUCCAACAGUUCCAGUUCUAGGAACAUUCUAGAAAAACAGCCACAAGGGCCUCGGGAGGCAUGAGCGAGGAUGUCAGCCCGCGCUGCAUUAUAUGCAGUCUCAAAAAAAUGGGAAACAACCCAACUGUUCGUCAACAGGAGAGUGGUAAAAAUUGCAGAAUAUGUUUUCCUCAGAUUCCUCAGGAAAGGCUGAAUGAAAAGUUAACGUAGUACGGGGAUGCUUGGUUAAGUGUCUGCCUUCGGCUCAGGUCAUGAUUCCAGGAUCCUGGGAUCGGGACCCACAUCGGGCUCCCAGCUGGGCAGGAAGCCUGCUUCUCCCUCUCCCUCUGCUGCUAUGUGGGCUCUCUCUUGACUCUCUCAAAUAAGUAAAAAUAAAACUUAAAAAAAAAAAUUAAAAAUAGGGCAACCUGUUGGGACCCUUCUCACUCUUGACAGCCUUUUCUGUAUCUUCACUUAAUAAACUUCUGUUGAUUUACUCA